rnacentral:rRNA from 1 species
AUUGAACGCUGGCGGCAGGCCUAACACAUGCAAGUCGAGCGGAUGAAGGGAGCUUGCUUCUGGAUUCAGCGGCGGACGGGUGAGUCAUGCCUAGGAAUCUGCCUGGUAGUGGGGGGCAACGUUUCGAAAGGAACGCUAAUACCGCAUACGUCCUACGGGAGAAAGCAGGGGACCUUCGGGCCUUGCGCUAUCAGAUGAGCCUAGGUCGGAUUAGCUAGUUGGUGAGGUAAUGGCUCACCAAGGCGACGAUCCGUAACUGGUCUGAGAGGAUGAUCAGUCACACUGGAACUGAGACACGGUCCAGACUCCUACGGGAGGCAGCAGUGGGGAAUAUUGGACAAUGGGCGAAAGCCUGAUCCAGCCAUGCCGCGUGUGUGAAGAAGGUCUUCGGAUUGUAAAGCACUUUAAGUUGGGAGGAAGGGUUGUAGAUUAAUACUCUGCAAUUUUGACGUUACCGACAGAAUAAGCACCGGCUAACUCUGUGCCAGCCGCCGCGGUAACAC